rnacentral:rRNA from 1 species
GUAACACGUGGGCAAUCUGCCCUUCACUCUGGGACAAGCCCUGGAAACGGGGUCUAAUACCGGAUACGACCUCCGACCGCAUGGUCUGGUGGUGGAAAGCUCCGGCGGUGAAGGAUGAGCCCGCGGCCUAUCAGCUUGUUGGUGGGGUGAUGGCCUACCAAGGCGACGACGGGUAGCCGGCCUGAGAGGGCGACCGGCCACACUGGGACUGAGACACGGCCCAGACUCCUACGGGAGGCAGCAGUGGGGAAUAUUGCACAAUGGGCGAAAGCCUGAUGCAGCGACGCCGCGUGAGGGAUGACGGCCUUCGGGUUGUAAACCUCUUUCAGCAGGGAAGAAGCGAGAGUGACGGUACCUGCAGAAGAAGCGCCGGCUAACUACGUGCCAGCAGCCGCGGUAAUACGUAGGGCGCAAGCGUUGUCCGGAAUUAUUGGGCGUAAAGAGCUCGUAGGCGGCUUGUCACGUCGGAUGUGAAAGCCCGGGGCUUAACCCCGGGUCUGCAUUCGAUACGGGCAGGCUAGAGUUCGGUAGGGGAGAUCGGAAUUCCUGGUGUAGCGGUGAAAUGCGCAGAUAUCAGGAGGAACACCGGUGGCGAAGGCGGAUCUCUGGCCGAUACUGACGCGA